UACGGGAGGCAGCAGUGGGGAAUAUUGCACAAUGGGCGCAAGCCUGAUGCAGCCAUGCCGCGUGUAUGAAGAAGGCCUUCGGGUUGUAAAGUACUUUCAGUCGUGAGGAAGGUGUUAAGGUUAAUAACCUUAGCAAUUGACGUUAGCGACAGAAGAAGCACCGGCUAACUCCGUGCCAGCAGCCGCGGUAAUACGGAGGGUGCGAGCGUUGCUCGGAAUUACUGGGCGUAAAGGGAGCGUAGGCGGACAUUUUAAGUCAGGGGUGAAAUCCCGGGGCUCAACCUCGGAAUUGCCUUUUGAUACUGGGUGUCUUGAGUAUGAGAGAGGUGUGUGGAACUCCGAGUGUAGAGGUGAAAUUCGUAGAUAUUCGGAAGAACACCAGUGGCGAAGGCGACACACUGGCUCAUUACUGACGCUGAGGCUCGAAAGCGUGGGGAGCAAACAGGAUUAGAUAACC
rnacentral:rRNA from 1 species